UCUCUAUUACACCCACACAACCUCACUUCUCUCAUUUUUCUCUCUCUAGAGCUCUUUCCAACCAAGGGACUUGGAGAGAUUUAGCUUGGCAAGAGGCUUUGGAGCAAAGAGUAAGCCUAGUGCAGGGAGAAGCUUGAGGAGAAGAGAAUCCUAAGGGUAAAUCGAUGCAAGAAACAACUCAAAUUGGGAUUUCGAUCAGCCUACAGUGUUCGAGUGAGAGAAAUUGUUGAUUAUCAUUCGUUAGCCUUCGGUCGAGCUAAAUCAGCGAAGACAAAUUGCGAGGCUUGGUUUUCCCAAUUCUAGACGUCGAUACGAGAUGUGAAAUAUGUGUGCAAGCUUGUCACGCCCCGAGACCGAUACCAAUUUGGGCCGGCCCGAGCACGUCAAACAGACACCGAACGGACAGAGUUUCCCCUAUCCGCCCAAGGCUCAUCAC